UGAUUGAAUGGCUUAGUGAGGUCUCCGGAUUGGCUUUGGGGAGCCGGCGACGGCACCCUAUUGCUGAGAAGCUGAUCAAACUUGGUCAUUUAGAGGAAGUAAAAGUCGUAACAAGGUUUCCGUAGGUGAACCUGCGGAAGGAUCAUUAUUGAAUAAACUUGGUUGGGUUGUUGCUGGCUUUUCGGAGCAUGUGCACGCCUAGCGCCAUUUUUACCACCUGUGCACUUUUUGUAGAUCUGAAACACCUCUCGAGGCAACUCGGUUUGAGGAUUGCUGCGCGAAAGCUCGGCUUUCCUUGCGUCUCAGGUCUAUGUUUUUACAUACCCCAUAAGAAUGUUUUAGAAUGUCAUUAAUGGGCUUAAAUGCCUUUAAAUUAAUACAACUUUCAACAACGGAUCUCUUGGCUCUCGCAUCGAUGAAGAACGCAGCGAAAUGCGAUAAGUAAUGUGAAUUGCAGAAUUCAGUGAAUCAUCGAAUCUUUGAACGCACCUUGCGCUCCUUGGUAUUCCGAGGAGCAUGCCUGUUUGAGUGUCAUUAAAUUCUCAACCCUUUCAGCUUUUGCGAGUUGAUUUGGCUUGGAUGUGGGGGUUGCGGGCUUCUCAGAAGUCGGCUCCUCUUAAAUGCAUUAGCGGAACCUUUGUGGACCAGCUUUGGUGUGAUAAUUAUCUACGCCAUGGCCGUGAAGCAGCUUUACAUGGGGUUCAGCUUCUAACCGUCCAUUGACUUGGACAAUUUCUGACAUUUUGACCUCAAAUCAG
rnacentral:rRNA from 1 species